AGUCGAAGCGUUGGCCCAAUUGAUUGAUGGUGCUUGCACCUGAUUGAUUUUGGUCGCCAACGAGUGGCGGACGGGUGAGUAACACGUAGGUAACCUGCCCAGAAGCGGGGGACAACAUUUGGAAACAGAUGCUAAUACCGCAUAACAACGUUGUUCGCAUGAACAACGACUUAAAAGAUGGCUUUCUCGCUAUCACUUCAUGGAUGGACCUGCGGUGCAUUAGCUUGUUGGUGGGGUAACGGCCUACCAAGGCGAUGAUGCAAUAGCACGAGUUGAGAGACUGAUCGGCCACAAUGGAGACUGACACACGGCCCAUACUCCUACGGAAGGCGGG
rnacentral:rRNA from 2 species